rfam:Glossina austeni unplaced genomic scaffold Scaffold52, whole genome shotgun sequence.
GGACAGACAGAGCGAUCGAUUCACAAUACAACGCUGAUCAUAAACGUUUGUAUACUUAAUGGGUAAUGGGUACUUUUUAGCACGUAGGCGCCAUGGGGAGCGAAUCGUGCAUACUGCUACUAAGAACCAGUAGUAUCUUCCGAAGAUUUUCUACCUCCUGCUCGC